AACGAACGCUGGCGGCAUGCCUAAUACAUGCAAGUCGAACGAGAUCUUCGGAUCUAGUGGCGAACGGGUGCGUAACGCGUGGGAAUCUACCCUUGGGUUCGGAAUAACAGUUAGAAAUGACUGCUAAUACCGGAUGAUGACGUAAGUCCAAAGAUUUAUCGCCCAAGGAUGAGCCCGCGUAAGAUUAGCUAGUUGGUGAGGUAAAGGCUCACCAAGGCUACGAUCUUUAGCUGGUCUGAGAGGAUGAUCAGCCACACUGGGACUGAGACACGGCCCAGACUCCUACGGGAGGCAGCAGUAGGGAAUAUUGGACAAUGGGCGAAAGCCUGAUCCAGCAAUGCCGCGUGAGUGAUGAAGGCCUUAGGGUUGUAAAGCUCUUUUACCCGAGAUGAUAAUGACAGUAUCGGGAGAAUAAGCUCCGGCUAACUCCGUG
rnacentral:rRNA from 1 species